rnacentral:rRNA from 1 species
UACGGAGGAUGCGAGCGUUAUCCGGAUUUAUUGGGUUUAAAGGGUGCGUAGGCGGGCUUUUAAGUCAGCGGUAAAAAUUCGGGGCUCAACCCCGUCCGGCCGUUGAAACUGGGGGCCUUGAGUGGGCGAGAAGAAGGCGGAAUGCGUGGUGUAGCGGUGAAAUGCAUAGGUAUCACGCAGAACCCCGAUUGCGAAGGCAGCCUUCCGGCGCCCUACUGACGCUGAGGCACGAAAGUGCGGGGAUCGAACAGG